AUUGAACGCUGGCGGCAUGCUUUACACAUGCAAGUCGAACGGCAGCGCGGGCUUCGGCCUGGCGGCGAGUGGCGAACGGGUGAGUAAUAUAUCGGAACGUACCCAAGAGUGGGGAUAACGUAGCGAAAGUUACGCUAAUACCGCAUACGAUCUAAGGAUGAAAGCAGGGGAUCGCAAGACCUUGUGCUCCUGGAGCGGCCGAUAUCUGAUUAGCUAGUUGGUGAGGUAAAGGCUCACCAAGGCAACGAUCAGUAGCUGGUCUGAGAGGACGACCAGCCACACUGGAACUGAGACACGGUCCAGACUCCUACGGGAGGCAGC
rnacentral:rRNA from 1 species